CCUACGGGAGGCUGCAGUGGGGAAUAUUGCACAAUAGGCGCAAGCCUGAUGCAACCAUGCCGCGUGUGUGAAGAAGGCCUUCGGGUUGUAAAGCACUUUCAGCGGGGAGGAAGGCGGUGAGGUUAAUAACCUCAUCGAUUGACGUUACCCGCAGAAGAAGCACCGGCUAACUCCGUGCCAGCAGCCGCGGUAAUACGGAGGGUGCAAGCGUUAAUCGGAAUUACUGGGCGUAAAGCGCACGCAGGCGGUCUGUCAAGUCGGAUGUGAAAUCCCCGGGCUCAACCUGGGAACUGCAUUCGAAACUGGCAGGCUAGAGUCUUGUAGAGGGGGGUAGAAUUCCAGGUGUAGCGGUGAAAUGCGUAGAGAUCUGGAGGAAUACCGGUGGCGAAGGCGGCCCCCUGGACAAAGACUGACGCUCAGGUGCGAAAGCGUGGGGAGCAAACAGGAUUAGAUACCCGGGUAGUC
rnacentral:rRNA from 1 species